AGGCAGCGCUGCUGGCGUCGCUGCGCCACCCCAACAUCGUUGGCUUAUACGGCGUGGUCACGGAC
rnacentral:rRNA from 1 species